rnacentral:rRNA from 1 species
UACGUAGGGGGCAAGCGUUGUCCGGAAUCAUUGGGCGUAAAGGGCGCGUAGGCGGCCCGGUAAGUCCGCUCUGAAAGUCCAGGGCUCAACCCUGGAAAGCGGGUGGAUACUGCCGGGCUAGAAUCCGGAAGAGGCGAGUGGAAUUCCUGGUGUAGCGGUGGAAUGCGCAGAUAUCAGGAGGAACACCGGUGGCGAAGGCGGCUUGCUGGGCCAGUUCUGACGCUGAGGAGCGAAAGCGUGGGGAGCGAACAGG